rnacentral:pre_miRNA from 1 species
UGUUAAAAAUUUCAUUUAUUUUUACGAUUAAAAAUUAACAUGAUAACAAAAUAAAUAGACAACUACACAUGGUGUAACACGUGCCCCUCGUUUUGAGGUACAAAGACCAAUUUUUAAUUAUAUAAAUUGAUUAAUUUUUUAACA